AACCUCCGCAAUGUGAGAAAUCGCGACGGGGGGAUUCCAAGUGCCAUUCUUAACGGGAUGGCUUUUCAUUAGUGUAAAGAGCUUUUGGAAUAAGAGCUGGGCAAGACCGGUGCCAGCCGCCGCGGUAACACCGGCAGCUCUAGUGGUAGCAGUCUUUAUUGGGCCUAAAGCGUCCGUAGCCGGUUUAAUAAGUCUCUGGUGAAAUCCUGUAGCUUAACUGUGGGAAUUGCUGGAGAUACUAUUAGACUUGAGAUCGGGAGAGGUUAGAGGUACUCCCAGGGUAGAGGUGAAAUUCUGUAAUCCUGGGAGGACCGCCUGUUGCGAAGGCUUCUAACUGGAACGAUUCUGACGGUGAGGGACGAAAGUUAGGGGCGCGAACCGGAUUAGAUACCCGGGUAGUCCUAACUGUAAACGAUGCGGACUUGGUGUUGGGGUGGCUUUGAGCUGCUCCAGUGCUGAAGGGAGCUGUUAAGUCCGCCGCCUGGGAAGUACGGUCGCAAGACUGAAACUUAAAGGAAUU
rnacentral:rRNA from 1 species